ACAUUGCCCUUCGCGUUCAGGACGCCGGCAAUGUCGUUGACGGAGCCGUUCGGAUUGGUUCCUUCGGCAUAGCGGAACAC
rnacentral:sRNA from 1 species